rnacentral:rRNA from 1 species
CCCUUAGAUGUCCGGGGCCGCACGCGCGCUACACUGAAGGAAUCAGCGUGGCUUUCUCCCUGACCCGAAAGGGUUGGGAAACCCGUUGAAUCUCCUUCGUGAUAGGGAUUGGGGCUUGAAAUUGUUCCCCAUGAACGAGGAAUUCCCAGUAAGCGCGAGUCAUAAGCUCGCGUUGAUUACGUCCCUGCCCUUUGUACACACCGCCCGUCGCUCCUACCGAUUGAGUGUGUUGGUGAGGAGUUUGGAUUGGCCUCGGAAGGUGGUUCGCCACCGUCCGUAGCUGAGAAGUUCUCCAAACCGCCCCACUUAGAGGAAGGAGAAGUCGUAACA